rnacentral:rRNA from 1 species
AACGUAGGUACCGAGCGUUAUCCGGAUUUACUGGGCGUAAAGCGCGUUCAGGCGGUUUGGCAAGUCGGGCAUGAAAUCUCUCGGCUCAACCGGGAGAGGUUGUCCGAUACUUCCAGACUUGAGGGCAGUAGAGGGUGGUGGAAUUCCGGGUGUAGUGGUGAAAUGCGUAGAUAUCCGGAGGAACACCAGUGGCGAAGGCGGCAUCCUGGACCGAGAUUGACGCUGAGGCGCGAAAGCUAGGGGAGCAAACGGG